rnacentral:lncRNA from 1 species
ACAAAGUAUACCAUCUGUACCAUAUAAUAAUCAUAUAAUAUGAGAAUCAUUUGAAGAGAAUUAUCAAUAACACACAAUCUUUUUAACAUACUCCACAACACAUUUUUUACAACUUAAUCAUUUUUCUAAAAUGUUAUUCAAUUUUUAUCNNNNNNNNNNNNNNNNNNNNNNNNNNNNNNNNAGUUUACAAACUAUAUGUUGCUUUUCCGAAAAAAUAAAGGACUAGCUAAUUUUUCGAUAAGUAAAUUUAUUGUUAAGUAAUUAGAGUAUUGUUUUGGCCAAAGGCCCAAUUCGCCCGCUGCCUCGGUUCCUCUUUGUUCCACAAUGGUGUGUAACCGCCAAACGACACAUAACGCCCCCUAACAUGACAUUUUCAACAUUUUACACCGUCUUCUAAGUAGUGAAGAUGUAAAAUCUUGAAAAUUUCAUAUAUAAGGGGUGUCAGCUAGUCAAGUAGCGAAAGAAAUUCUUGAGUCUUCCAUCUUUCUCGGUUCCUCUUUGUCCCACAAUGGCUCGUAAUUGCCAAACGACUCAUAACGCCUCCAACGACCAUCUAAUCUCGACAUCGAUGGGCGGCACUUUCUGGUCAAUAUCCGACAACUCCUUUUCAGUGUCUAUAUAAACAACUCUUCACAACAACAUAAAGUACAAUAUCCUAUCCUUCAACCUCUCACUCUUGAUUUGAUUCUGACUAGCUUGAGCUUUGUAGUCUUUGCAAGUAUACCCCCCAUCAUUUGACGGAAGUUAUUCGAGUUCGGCAUACCUUCUCGAUCACCUCAGAUCAAGUUCGGUAUACUCCCAUCAUUUAGAAGUGUUUCAAAAGCAUAGUAGUAUUUAUCUAAUUUGAGAGUAAAUUAUAAAACCAAAGUAAGGAAUGAAAGAAACACAAUAAAAAUUUAUUGUUCAAAACGAGAAUGAUUUAAAAUUUACAAUGGAAUAUGAUAAAAAAAAAUUGAUGGUUCAUAAAAAAAGUAGAUGGUUUAACAAACCAAUUAGACUUACAAUAUUGAGAUGCUUCUUGGUAUUUUUUCUGAGUACCCCAAUGUUGUUAAGUGCAAGGAUAGCCCCAAUAACAGCAAUGAUCAAAGUGUUCAUAACUGGAGCUAAUGCAACUAAGAAAAGCUUCAAGAAGUUCAUAUUGUGAUUUAUUUAUUUUUUUGUACCACUCCAAAUAAAGUUGUAAUAUUCCUAAUAUAUGAAACAAUUUCAGAUAAUUAUGAUUGGUUUUUGUCAACAACCAAUUGGAUUCAUAACAAAAUGGCUAUAAAGUGAAGAAAUUAGCCAUUCAAUUUUUAUUAUAAGUACUUCUCAAAUUUAAAAGUACGUUCCACAAUCUUGAAGAAAAUUAAACAACAAAAAAAAUCCUAGUUUUGAGCAUACACGCUUACUAUUAUAACUAUAUUUAUCAUUUAGAAUCAUCUAAAGCCAAUUUUGUGAAAAUAAGAAAAUAAUAUUGUGCUGGCUAUUCAAUUACAUGAACCAUACAUAUACUUCUAUAAUUAAUUAACAGAAUAAAUGAAAGCAUACAUAUGUAUAACCUUAUUGGAUAAAUGAUGUCAACCCAUCCUUUUCUCUUUUUAUUUAAGUUGUUAUAGGUAGCAACUUUAGAAGUGUAGUCUAGGACAAAAUAAUAACUUGUCUAAAGUUUAGAUUCAAGCGACACAAAA